GCUUGAUGUAUUAUCUGAUUGGAAAAAGUCUGACAACGAAAAUCUUCGCGUAACGGAUGAUUAGUCGGCAAUAGACGGGCACAUCCGGAUUCGUCCACGGUCAGUUUUCUAAGGUCCGGAUUCGUCCACCGAUGGAAAAGGACCGAUGUCCGGACUCGUCCACGGUCGAAAAACGCAAUUCCGGAUCCGUCCACGUGAAAUAAAUCGACUUAUUUUAAAAGGACGAUGUGGCAAGAGCGCAAUGAUUCUGAUCGGAACGCGUGCGACAGAGAGUACAGAGUUUUUUUAUUAUUUACUGACUUGCCGUAAAAAUGAGAAAUUGUAUGUUACAUUGACGGUGUAAAAUUAUUUAUCUUUGUAAUUUGACCAUGUUUUUUUGUAAACAUAUCUGUUUUAAAAAAAGAAAACAAAAAAAAGAGAAGAAAUAAAGAAAAAAGUAGAAAAAAGAUUAAAGCAAAAAUGAAAAAAAUAAAGAAAGAAGGAAAAAGAAAAAUAUUAAAGAAAAAAUAAAGAAGAAUAAACAAAAAAUCGUAAAAAAAGAAAAGAGAAGAAAUAAAGAAAAAAGUAGAAAAAAGAUUACAGAAAAAAACUUUGAAACACGCCUGCAAUUUGCAGCCAGUCCUAAGCCUGGAAAAAGUGUGAAGGAAAGUUUAUUUUUUCUAUUAUUCUUUCAUAUUUCUUCAAACAAGUGCAUGAAUGUUUAUUUUUUAAAAAUCAUUUUUUGAAUAUUUUUUUUUCAAAUUGAGAAUAGAAACGUCCGACAAGAAGAGCCGGCCGUAAGGACUGCCGGCUUCUUAUCUGCUGACUCACACUCUGUCGCACGCGUUCCGAUCGGAAUCAUUGCGCUCUUGCCACAUCGUCCGUUUAAAAUAAGUCGAUUUAUUUCGCGUGGACAGAUCCGGAAAUGCGUUUUUCGACCGUGGACGAGUCCGGACAUCGGUCCUUUUCCAUCGGUGGACGAAUCCGGACCAUAGAAAACUGACCGUGGACGAAUCCGGACGCCCCCCAAUAGACUUACUCAAACCCAUUAGUUUUACAAGAAACCGACCCUCUGCUAUCAUCAUUGUGCCAAAGAACCCUAUUCUGUGCGA
rnacentral:lncRNA from 1 species